rnacentral:rRNA from 1 species
UACGUAGGGUCCGAGCGUUGUCCGGAUUCAUUGGGCGUAAAGAGCUCGUAGGCGGUUCCGUAAGUCAGAUUUGAAAACUCAGGGCUCAACCCGGAGACGCCAUCUGAUACUGCGGUGACUGGAGUCUGGUAGGGGAACACGGAAUUCCUGGUGUAGCGGUGAAAUGCGCAGAUAUCAGGAGGAACACCGAUGGCGAAGGCAGUGUUCUGGGCCAGUACUGACGCUGAGGAGCGAAAGCGUGGGGAGCAAACAGG